CAGCCGCCACGGUAAUACGGAGGGUGCAAGCGUUAAUCGGAAUUACUGGGCGUAAAGCGCACGCAGGCGGUCUGACAAGUCAGAUGUGAAAUCCCCGGGCUUAACCUGGGAACUGCAUUUGAAACUGUCAGGCUGGAGUCUUGUAGAGGGGGGUAGAAUUCCAGGUGUAGCGGUGAAAUGCGUAGAGAUCUGGAGGAAUACCGGUGGCGAAGGCGGCCCCCUGGACAAAGACUGACGCUCAGGUGCGAAAGCGUGGGGAGCAAACAGGAUUAGAGACCCCAGUAGUCCCUGUCUCUUAUAU
rnacentral:rRNA from 1 species